GGGCGAGUGGCGGAAUGGCAGACGCUGGGGACUUAAAAUCCUCUGACCCUCACCGGUCGUGCGGGUUCGAAUCCCGCCUCGCCCA
rnacentral:tRNA from 1 species